rnacentral:tRNA from 1 species
GCGGGUGUAGUUCAACGGUAGAACAUCAGCCUUCCAAGCUGAUCGUGAGAGUUCGAUUCUCUUCACCCGCUCCA